AACGAACGCUGGCGGCAUGCCUAACACAUGCAAGUCGAACGAGACCUUCGGGUCUAGUGGCGCACGGGUGCGUAACGCGUGGGAACCUGCCCUUAGGUUCGGAAUAACUCCCCGACAGGGGUGCUAAUGCCGGAUAAUGUCUUCUGACCAAAGAUUUAUCGCCUUUGGGUGGGCCCGCGUUGGAUUAGCCAGUUGGUAGGGUAAAAGCCUACCAAGGCGACGAUCCAUAGCUGGUCUGAGAGGAAGAGCAGCCACACUGGGACUGGGACACGGCCCAGACUCCUACGGGAGGCAGCAGUGGGGAAUAUUGGACAAUGGGCGAAAGCCUGAACCAGCAAGGCCGCGUGAGUGAUGAAGGCCUUAGGGAUGUAAAGCUCUUCUACCCGGGAUGAUAAUGACGGUACCGGGAGAAUAAGCUCCGGCUAACUCCGUG
rnacentral:rRNA from 1 species